CAAAGCACAUUCUUAGGUCAGUUGCUUCGCUACUCUGUCACUUGACAUAAACUAUGGUUUUAUAUUGGCAUUAUGUCACCUUUGUUUGGUAUUUUUGCUCGGCUGACUUCUUUCAAAUCAGAGCUAGGUUGCUGUUAGCAUGACGCAACUUCAACAAUUGCCAAAAGCCGAACUUAGUAACCUAGCUGAGAUAGCCACUUUUCGCUACUUUUGGUAGCCGCUUUAGUGAAACUCCAACUUUAGGAGAUCUUUUGAGGCUAACUUAGCUGCUAAACCAACUGAACCAGUAGCACCAAACCCCAUGUUUACACAAACGCCACUGACUUCACCCAAACAAACGCUAGAAACACUCUUUCCAGCUCUAAGUGCCAACGGUUUAAUAAUUUAAAAGUACUCAAGACAACUGCCAGCUUGUUCUCGCCAACUAACCACAACAGGGAACAAAUGCAGGCUUUCCUCAAACGGGAAGCGGGCACAUACGACGACGCGGUCCGGUGUUUGGAGCCAUUUUUCCUGCAGCCUGCAUUUUUCCAUCCACUUGCACAAAGGAGACGUCAGUUCCUGUUGAGUUGGUCGGCGGAGUCGACCGACUUUUGGAUAGAAGUGUGGAAAGCGGCGUCUCUGCUCUAACAAGUUACAUGGAGAAACAGCGCCACUCCAUGGACAAAGGAAGGCAGUGCAUCGGUUGGAAAUUGUACGUGUUGAAGAAAACGGCCAUUAGACGAAUAGCAAAUUACCUUGCUUUUAAUAACUUUAAAAAAUGCUUCUGCACUUUA